UUCAGUCUCUCACUUCAAACCUAAAGAGACUCCUAACCCUAAUCAUUCUAUCACCCAACCGGCCGCCCUUCUUUCCCCUUCUUCUUUCUUUUCUCUCAUCUACAUCAAACCCAUCCAUCCAAAAACCUUGCACAAAUUUGUGCAAGGUCACAUGAAUCAAAUUCAAAUCAUCCUUUCUGUCCCUGCUAACUGAGAAUCCAACCUGAAACUUUCCCCUUUCAUCACUUUGAUUCAAACUCUGAACCGCUUAAAAUGCUAAACCUAUCGAUACAUGGGUAUAUCAUCGUCCUUCCUCUGUUCCGUCGAAUCGAAGCAAGCAUGACCAUUAUAUUCAACUUCAUCAUCAUUAUUCGAUGUCCAGAGGUCAAACACACUGACCUCUAAACAUUAGGAUUUGACCGAUUGUCCAAUGGCUUCAACGGUCGACCUCCUCGUGCUAGGUAAAGUCAUACAAUGUUUUUCCCUAUUUUCCUUCUAAUUUUCACAUGCUUUCUAUCAUCAUCCAUCUAUUGUCUGUCCCCCACUAUCAAUUUGAAUUCAAUCGGAACCCUAAGUCUUGAAGGCCACUAUAAAUAGGGCCUUAAAUGUUCUCACCUAACAGACACCAUCACAUCUAACAACGACUAAAAAUACAUUGAAAGUAAAAAAAGAACAUUAAAGGUUCAAGUUUUUUGCUAUGUUUAAGUCCAGUAGCUGCUCUCUAAUUUCUCUAUUCUUCUUUUAAUUGCUGUUCGAGUUCGACCUAUGUGAGUUGAUCGUUGUUGGUUUUGGGUUCUAAAAUGACUAACAACUGACUCUUGGUUUUCUGCUCUAUAGAAGGUCAGUGUACACUAACCCUCUCUCUAUCUUUUAAUUAACUGUGCAAUUUUGUAUUUAUGAUGUUUUCUUUGUUAAUCACCUUUUGUUUAUGAUAUAUAUCAGUGGUAUAUGACUAUACUUGUUAUGUUUUGCUUUACAUGCCAUUUUCAUUGAUUGAGUUGAUAAUUUCCUUAUAAGUUAUGUUGUUUUGGUACUGCUAGCCAAUCUAUGUUGUUAAUGAAUUCCAUCUCCCAUAACUUAGCUAGAUAAAAUAUUUUCAGUGAUGUUGAUACUCUUAUGGACAAAUUCUGUUGAACUUUUUAUCAUCAGUUGGGCUAAACAUUAUGUUGCUCCUAUGUAUGUUCCAUCCAUGUCAGUUAAAUGAUAACUAUACUAUCAUGUUAUCUAAAUCAAUCGAGUUAUACUCUUAAGCUUCUCCUGAUGUCCCGUUAAGACUUCACAACUGUUAAACUAUGCUAUACUGAUUCUUAUGUUUGUGAUGUUAUGCCACAUUGUUUUAGUUCAAAAUAAAACUGAUUCUCAUUACAGCUUAUGUAUUGCAGUUGAUCCAUCUGCUUUGAAGACCUUAGUUGAUAGUUUUGUUGUUGAAAUCAUGUUUGUUCUAUGCAAUUAAUGAUUCAUGGAAGGCUGUCAUUAUAGUUUGAAACCAUGUAUUGGACCUUAAUGACAUACCCUGCUAAUGAACCUGUCUACAUGUCCAAAUUGUUAACUUAUUGGGAUCUAUUUGCUUUACCAAAUUAAAAAUGAAUGUCAUCGUUUGAUUGUCUCAUGCCUGUUGAUAUCACUGUCUAUAGAGAACUAAAUUGAGAAACUAAAGUCGUUUUGAUCUGGUAGUUUAACAAUCUGAUAGACUAUAUGAUGUCACAUGCCAUUUUCAUUAGGACUAAAAGUUGGCUUUUCCUAUUUAUGAUGACAUCUUUGUUGACUUUGCUGUUUGGUUUGAUUUUUUGGGAGCUCUGGAUGAUGUUGUUGGCCCGAGUGCUUAAUAAGACUUAAUCGUGUGCCUGCUUGUUAAGUUGCUCUGAACAUUGUCAUAUUGAUUUGCAAUUUGCUCAAAAUGGUUUGAACUUCCUUAGGAAAGGCCUUGAGUGGUGAAUCUUAGGGGAGAACGACAGAAGGAGUAUACAUAUUUAUCUCUGACACCUUAGACUGCAUAGCUUAGCAUCUCUGACAUUAAAAUUGUAAAUAGAACCUAACUAAUUGGCAACAUGUAGUCAGUUAUUUACACUUCACAUCUUCUGCUAGACUACAUCUUGGUAAUGACCUUCAUCAAGUAUUAUGUGCAUAUUAUGAUCAAUCUUAAGGCCCCUGAUAUUAUUAGAACACUGGAAGUUUAGCUGCAGUGAUAUAUAUUUGUAUUAGUGUUCUGCCAACAUGUCCAAAGGUCAAUAUUGUGAUUGGUUCAUAUCUUUCUAUUCUAAUGAUAGUGUAAUAUCCUCUAUAACUGUUCAUUUCAAGUAGUUGACACUUCCUUUGUGUCUAAACCUUUGAGGAAUAGUAAGAGUGGAUGACUAAAGUUAUUUGUGUGUGAACUUGUUUUGUAAUCGAGGUACCCAUCCCUGGCACAAGCACUGCUCGGGUUCUUGAGAACCUUGCAAACUCUGAAGUGUCAGGUGUCCAUAGGGGGAUUUCGUAAAUAGAACACGGUUCACCCUAAGCCUUUGAUCAUUAACCCUAGUAUUACAUCAUAGGGUUAGGAUAAAAUGAAUAACUAAAAUCAUAUAGUUCCUUUCUAGAUUUUUACUUACCUGUCAUGAUUUACUUUGUAGCUUAUGUUGAUAUAUACUAAUUGUUUUCCCUUUUUAGCAUGCAUGUUCGAGUUUGGCCUGCUGAGCUCAUUUGGAGCCAGACCUAGGCUGCUUCCUCUGCUUUCCUGCUUGUUGAGUCUACCGCCGAUUUGAAUCCUGUUGGGCCAGGCUUGCCCGCUAGCCUUAUUACAAGAGUCCAUCUCUCCUUCUUUUACCUUUAAUGAUAAUCAUUAUUAUUUAUUCGCUUUUAUGUAUAAUACGUAUUUGGAUGUAACGACUCGGCUAUUCGUUUUGAGUAUUAUAGCCCCAUUUCCCCGUUUAUUACUUAUUCUAUGCUCGUUUGUUGUUAUGUGACUUGCUAGGGUGGUUGGUUUGAUUCCGGGGAUGUUUCAGAAUGUAUUGGGAUACUUAGUCUCAUGGUUGGAAGCUCAAGUUGAAAUAGUUGACCGGAUGUUAACUUAUGAGUAAACAACUCCGGAAUGAAGUUUUGAUAGUUCCGAUAGCUCGUAUGGUCAUUUUGGACUUAGGAGUAUGUCUGGAUUUAGAUUUGGAGGUCCGUAGGUCAUUUUGGCUUGAAUUAGCGAAAGUUGAAAAGUUUGACCGAGAGUUGACUUUGUUUUUACCGGGCUCGAGUUUUUGUUAUGGGAGUUGGAAUAGGUCUGUUGUGUCAUUUAUGACUUGUGUGCAAAAUUUGAGUUCAAUUAGAGUUGAUUUGGUGUGUUUCGACAUUGGUUAUAGAAGUUGAAAGUUUAAUAGUUCAUUAAGCUUGAAUUGGGGUGCGAUUCAUAUUUUCGAUGUUGUUUGAUGUGAUUUGAGGCUUUGACUAAGUUCUUAUGAUGUUUUAGGAUGUAUUGGUAUGCUUAGAUGGGUUCUCGGGGGCCUCAGGUGAGAUUUGGAUUGGUUUCGGAUUUGAGUUUGGCCUUAUAGGAUUGCUGAUGUUCAGGUGUCUAGUUUUCUCAUAUGCGUUCGCGUGAGAAGGCCCGCGAUCAUGAAGCUUGGUGAUUUAGUGCUUCACGAACGCAUAAGAGGUGCCGCGUUCGCGAAGAAGAAAGAGGUGGCCUGGGCAGCCCACAUAGUUGUUCUUCGCAAUCGCGAGUGGGAGUCCGCGAUCGUGCAUGUCUGUGUUGUUAUGCAUCACAUUCGUGGCUGGGGUUCUACGUUCACGUAGACCAUUUUUGUGGGCAACAUAUUUGUUAUUCGUGAUCGAGAGGGACUUUCCACGUUCGCAAAGAGGAACAACUGGGCAGACUAUUUAAUUUCAAAAAUGAGGGUUAAAGUAUUAUUUCACAUUUGGACUUUGGGAGAUCAGAUUAAGGCGGUUCUUGAAGAUAUUUUCAAGGAGUUGAUUGGGGUAAGUGAUUCUAACUCGGAUUUGUUUAAUAUACAUGAAUAUAUCAUUAUUUGUACUACUAAAUUAGUUUUUCGGGUUGGACACAUUGGGGAAAAUUGUAAAAACUUCAUAAACUAUAUUUUGAGGAUUUGAAUGGCGAUUUGAGGUCAGAAUUGGAUGAUUUUAGUAUGGUUGGACUCGUUAUUGAAUGGGUGUUCGGAUUAUGUAAAUUUUGCCGAAUUCCAAGAUGUGGGCUCAGGGUUUACUUUUUGACUUUGGCUAAAGAACUUAGCUUUAUCAUAUGGAAUCGAUUCCUAUAGCUUGUAUUGAUUUUAUUAAGUUGUUGUGACUAGAUUCGAGUCUUUCGGAGGCCGAUUCGCAAGGCAAGGGCUUGUUGGAGUUUUGAUUUGUACGGUUUGAGGUAAGUAACACUCAGUCUGUAUGGUCAUUUAUUGUUACAUCAUGUAUCAUUGUUUGGGCUAAUUGGCAUGAGUUUUAUGAGCCCGAGAGAUUGAGAGAUUGAUGAUUGGGUUGGGGCCUGAGAGCCAUGUUAUGAGUGAGGUUGUGGGUCAGGUUGCACGCCGCAACAUGCCUUCUUGGAUUUAUAUAUAUUAUUAUUAUGGAUCAGGUUGUAUGCCGCAGCAGGCCUUAUAGGCUUUAUCUAUUAUUAUAGGAUCAGGCUGCACGCCGUAGAAGGCCAUAUUGGCUUAUAUUAGCGCUUGGAUAGGAUCCGCCCCUCCAGAGUCUUAUAUACCAGCAGUGAGCGCAGGUACUAUCCAGUUGAUUUGUGGGAGUGUGAGACAGUGAGAUUGAGUACUCAGAGAGUGUGAGUACAUAAGUUUAUCAUUGCGAUGCAUUAUAUGUAACAUGCAUAUUUGACAUGUAGACAUAGAGAUGUAACAUUUCCCAUAACAGUCAUACUUGGCAUAUUUUAUCAGUGUUGAGCUUAAAUUGUUAAACUUGAAAGCAUGUCUACAUUUUUGCACUGUGUACAAAUUGAUUAUUGGAUUUUUUGAGUUAUUACUGUCAUUUCCAUGUUAUAUCUAAAUAGUCAUUAUCUGUAUUUGGACUGUACCUUUUUGAGCUCAUCACUGCUUUCAGCCCAAGGUUAGUCCUAUUAAUUAUUGAGUACAUUGGGUCGGUUGUACUCAUAUGACACUCUACACUUUGUGUGCAGAUCAAGGUACUUCUGGGCAUGGCGGUUGCUAGACUUGGUGCAGUAUCUGCUUGGAGAUUAUUGAGGUAGCUGUUAUGACGCCCGUAGACCUCGACUAUCCUUCCUUUCAGUUUAUUUUGUACUGUUCUAUCUUUCAGACACUUGUAUUAGAGGUUUAGAUUGUGUUCAUACUUCGUAGCUCAUGUACUCGGGGACACGUGGAUUUUGGGAGAUUUUGUAGUUGAGUCAUAGUUGUGCUUAUCGAUUUUAUGAGAUUUUUCAUUGUUAAACUUAUUAUAUCAUGCUUCUAGUUUAAAAUGCAUAGUUAUUUUGUGAUUGUAGACUUGUCUAGUACUGUGAUAAGAGCCAUCACAACAUGUUGAGAUUUGGGUUGUGACAAGUUAGUAUCAGAGCCUAGGUUACAUAGGUCUCACAUGUCAUGAGCUAGUUUAGUAGAGUCUCGCAGAUCAGUAAGGAGAUGUCUGUACUUAUCUUCGAGAGGCUACCGAACCAUUUGGAAACUUCACUUUCUUGUAUUCUUGUCUUGCAGAUUUGUUGAUCCCGGAAACCAAACUUCUAUAUUUCUAUUCUAUCACAGAUGGUGAGGACACGUGCGACUAGAUCGGGCGGACGGCCAUCAGUACCACCAGCUAGGGCCACGAGAGGCCGGGGCUGCGGUAGAGGCCGAGGUGCAGCUCAUGUAGCAGCUAGAGCAGCACCUGUGGAGCCACCUAUUUUUCCAGCUCAGGAGCAGAUACUAGAUGUGGUUGAGCCAAUGGGACCAGCUCAGGCACCGGCUGUGCCCAUUGUGUUUCCGGGUCUUCAGGAGGCUCUGGCCCAGAUAUUGACUGUAUGCAUUAGCCUUGCUCAAGCGGUUUCAGUUCCGACCGCACCAGCCACUUCUCAGGCCGGGGGAGGUGCUCAGACUCCCGCCGCCCGUACUCUAGAGCAGGUAGUUCAAGGACUUCAGACACCGGAGGUACUACCAGCCCAACUGGUUGCAGCGGCUCAGGCCCGGUUGGUCCACAUAUAAGUGACGAGGAGAAGAAGAGACUAGAGCUGUUUGGGAGGCUCGGGCCUCCAGAGUUCAGUGGGGCUGAGUCGGAGGAUGCUCAGGAUUUCUUAGACAGAUGCCAGUGGAUCCUUCGCACGACGGGAAUUUUGCAGACUAGUGGAGUCUCAUUUACUACUUUUCAACUAUCGGGGGAAACCUUUAGAUGGUGGGAGGCCUAUGAGUUGAACAUGCUAGCCGGCGCUGCACCACUUACGUGGCAUAAGUUCUCAGUUCUCUUCUUAGAGAUGUUUUUUCCACAGACCCGCAGGGAGGAGUUGCAUAGGCAGCCUGAGGAGCUACGCCAAGUGGGUAUAUCAGUGACCCAGUAUGAGAUGAGAUUCUCAAAGUCAGCUUGUCACACGAUCUGGUUGGCUUCCAAUGAGAGGGAGAGGAUUAGGAGGUUCAUUGAUGGCCUCAACUAUUCACUGCGCUUCGUCAUAACUCAGGAGAUUGCAUCCGGUGCUAGGUUUGACGAGGUGGUUGAUAUUGCUAGGCGUCUAGAGCAGGUUCUCAGCCAGAAGAGCAAGGAGAAGGAGGCCAAGAGGCCUCGUGGUUCUGGUGGUUUUAGCGGUGUUUCUUCUGGAGGAUAGUCCCACCAUAGCCGGGGUCACCCUUAAAGGCCCUCUUAGAUGGCUCGUCCGGUUCAUCAUGGUGUAUCAGCUAGCCAUGGUUCAUACAAUGCUCGUCUGGGUCAGUCAUCUCUCAGUGCCCUCCCAGCUCAGAGUUCAUCCCGUGCUCUAUUAGUUCAGGGUUCAUCUGUACCAGGUCCUUCUAGUAGCUAUUGUUGUUCUCGGGGUCCAAUUCAGUCUCGACCACCAUUGAUGGAUCGGAGUUUCUACGAGUGUGGGGAGUUUGAACAUGUGAGGAGGUAUUGUCCCUAUCUCUUGGGAGGUCCAAUUCAGUAGAUGGCUCAGGUUAUGACUUUCGCACCGGUUACUUCACCACCCGCUCAGCCAGCUCGGGGUAGGGCUCAGGAAACUAGAGGUCGCCCUAGAGGGGGAGGCCGAACAUGUGGAAGACAUGCUCGAUGCUAUGCUUUCCUUGCCAGGCCAGAGGCCGUUGCUUCAGAUACAGUUAUCACAAGUAUUGUUUCAGUGUACCACAUGGAUGCUUCCAUAUUAUAUGACCUUAGUUCCACUUAUUCAUAUGUAUCAUCGUAUUUUGCUCGUUAUUUGGAUAUGCCCCGUGAGUCCUUAGUUUUGCCUGUUCAUGUAUCUAUGCUGGUGGGCGAUUCUAUCAUUGUGGACCGUGUGUAUCGGUCGUGUGUGGUUACCAUUGAGGGAUUGGAGAUGAGAGUUAAUCUCUUAUUGCUUAGUAUAGUUGAUUUUGACAUGAUUCUAGGCAUGGAUUGGUUGUCCCCAUGUCAUGCUAUUUUGGAUUGUCACACUAAGACCGUGAUGUUAACGAUGGCGGGGUUAACUAGGAUCGAGUGGAGAGGUUCUCUGGACUAUAUUCCCAGUAGGAUGAUUUCAUAUCUGAAGGCCCAACAGAUGGUUGGGAAGUGUGUUUAUCAUAUUUGGCUCUUGUGAGGGAUGUUGGUGCCGAUACUCUUACUAUUGAUUCAGUUCUGGUAGUGCGAGACUUUUCGGAUGUGUUUCCUGCAGACAUGCCGGGCAUGCCACUUAACAGGGAUAUUGAUUUUGGUAUUGACUUGGUGCCGGACACUCAGCUCAUUUCUAUUCCUUCGUAUCGUAUGGCACCAACAGAGUUGAAGGAAUUGAAAAAGCAGCUUCAGGAGCUUCUUGAUAAGGGGUUCAUUAGGCCCAGCGUGUCGCCUUGGGGUGCAACGGUUCUGUUUGUGAAGAAGAAGGAUGGUACUAUACAGAUGUGCAUUGAUUAUAGGUAGUUGAACAAAGUUACAAUUAAGAACAAGUAUCAUUUGCCGCAUAUUGAUGACUUAUUUGACCAACUUCAGGGAGCUAGAGUGUUCUCUAAAGUUGAUUUGAGAUCUGGGUAUCACCAGUUGAAGAUUCAAGACUCAGAUGUUCUGAAGAUGACAUUCAUGACCUGCUUUGGUCACUAUGAGUUCCUUGUGAUGUCUUUUGGGCUGACCAAUGCCCCAUCAUCAUUCAUGCAUUUGAUGAACAGUGUGUUCUAGCCAUAUCUUGAUUCGUUUGUCAUAAUAUUUAUUGAUGAUAUCGUGGUGUACUCACGUAGCCAGGAGGAACGUGCACAACAUUUGAGGAUUAUACUACAGACAUUGAGGGAGGAGAAGCUUUAUGCUAAGUUCUCCAAUUGUGAUUUUUGGCUCAGUUCAGUGGCGUUCUUGGGGCACGUGGUGUCCGGUGAGGGGAUCAAGGUAGAUCCGAAGAAGAUUGAGGCGGUUUUGAGUUGGCCCAGACCGUCUUCAGCUACUGAGAUUCAAAGUUUUCUUAGCUUGGCCAGAUAUUAUCUUCGCUUCAUGGAGGGUUUCUCGUCCAUUACAGCGCCUUUGACAAGGUUGACCCUGAAUGGUGCUCCAUUCAAGUGGUCUGAUGAGUGUGAGGAGAGCUUUCAGAAGCUCAAGACUACCUUGACCACAACUGUAGUUCUAUUUUUGCCUUCAGCAUCGGGUUCUUAUAUAGUGUAUUGUAAUGCUUCUCGAAUUGGUAUUGGGUGUGUCUUGAUGCAGGAGAGUAGAGUGAUUGCUUAUUCUUCAUGCCAGUUGAAGCCUAAUGAGAAGAACUACCUCGUUCAUGAUUUAGAGUUGGCAACCAUCGUUCAUGCAUUGAUGAUUUGGAGGCAUUAUCUCAGUGGUGUGUCUUGUGAGGUAUUUACAAAUCAUCGGAGUCUUCAGCACUUGUUCAAGCAAAAGGAUCUAAAUUUGAGGUAGUGGGGAUUGUUGGAGCUAUUAAAAGACUAUGAUAUUACCAUUUUGUAUCAUCCCGAGAAGGCCAAUGUAGGGGACGAUGCCUUGAGUAGAAAAGCAAUGAGCAUGGGUAGCCGUUCAUAUAUUCCUGUUGGUGAGAGACUGCUUGCAUAAGAUGUUCAGGCCUUGGCCAAUCAGUUCAUAAGGUUAGAUGUUUCGGAGCCUAGUCAGGUUCUAGCUUGUGUGGUUUUCGGUCUUCUUUGUAUGAUAGCAUCAAAGAGAAUCUUCAGGAGCUUUUUGAUAAAGGGUUCAUUAGGCCCAGCGUGUCGCCUUGGGGUGCACCGGUUCUGUUUGUGAAGAAAAAGGAUGGUACUAUGCAGAUGUGCAUUGACUAUAGGCAGUUGAAAAAAGUUAUAAUUAAGAACAAGUAUCCUUUACCGCGUAUUGAUGACUUAUUUGACUAGCUUCAGGGAGCUAGAGUGUUCUCUAAUGAGGUCUGGGUAUCACCAGUUGAAGAUUCAGGACUUGGAUAUUCUGAAGACGACAUUCAUGACCCGCUAUGGUCACUAUGAGUUCCUUGUGAUGUCUUUUAGGAUGACUAAUGCCUCUGCAUCAUUCAUGCAUGUGAUGAACAAUGUGUUCCAACCAUAUCUUGAUUCGUUUGUCUGGUGAGGGGAUCAAGGUAGAUCCGAAGAAGAUUGAGGCGGUUUAGAGUUGGCCCAGACCGCCUUCAGCUACUGAGAUUCAGAGUUUUCUUAGCUUGGCCAGAUAUUAUCGUCGCUUCGUGGAGGGUUUCUCGUCCAUUAUAGCGCCUUUGACAAGGUUGACCCAGAAGGGUGCUCCAUUCAGGUGGUCUAAUGAGUGUAAGGAGAGCUUUCAGAAGCUCAAGACUGCCUUGACCAUAACUCUAGUUCUAGUUUUGCCUUCAGCAUUGGGUUCUUAUACCGGGUACUAUAAUGCUUCUCGGAUUGGUAUUGGGCAUGUCUUAAUGCAAGAGGGUAGAGUGAUUGCUUAUGCUUCACGCUAGUUCAAGCCUAAUUAGAAGAACUACCUCAUUCAUGAUUUAGAGUUGGCAGCCAUCAUUCAUGCAUUGAAGAUUUGGAGGCAUUAUCUCUACGGCAUGUCUUGUGAGGUAUUUAUAGAUCAUCGGAGUCUUCAGCACCUGUUCAAGCAAAAGGAUCUAAAUUUGAGAUAGUGGAGAUGGUUGGAGCUGUUAAAAAACUAUGAUAUUAUCAUUUUGUGUCAUCCCGGAAAGGCAAAUGUAGUGGACGAUGCCUUGAGUAGAAACGCGGUGAGCAUGGGCAGCCUUGCAUAUAUUCCUAUUGGUGAGAGACUGCUUGCAUAAGAUGUUCAGUCCUUGGCCAAUCAGUUCAUGAGGUUAGAUAUUUUAGAGCCUAUUCGGGUUCUAGCUUGCGUGGUUUCUCGGUCUUCUUUGUAUGAUCGCAUCAGAGAGCGUCAGUAUGACAACCCCCAUUUGCUUGUCCUUAAGGACACGGUUCAGCACAGUGAUGCCAAGGAGGUUUCUAUUAGAUAUGAUGGGGUGUUACAGAUGCAUGGUUGGAUUUGUUUGCCCAAUGUGGAUGGGCUACAUGAGUUGAUUCUUGAUGAGGCACAUAGUUAACGGUAUUCCAUUCAUUCAGGUGCCGCAAAGAUGUUUCAGGACUUAAGGCAGCACAAUUGGUGGAGGAGAAUGAAGAAAGAUAUAGUGGAGUUUGUAGUUCGGUGCUUGAAUUGUCAGCAGGUGAAGUACGAGUAUCAGAAGCCGGACAGUUUGCCUCAGAGGCUUGAGAUUCCAGAGUGGAUAUGGGAGCGUAUCACCAUGGACUUCAUAGUUGGGCUCCUACAGACUUUGAAAACAUUUGAUGCUAUUGGGGUGAUUGUGGACCGGUUGACUAAGUCCGCACAUUUCAUUCCAGUUGGGACUACCUAUUCUUCGGAUUGGUUGGCUGAGAUCUAUAUCUGUGAGAUUGUUUACCUUCACGGUGUGCCGGUGUCCAUUAUUUAAGAUCGGGGCACGCGGUUCACAUUGUAGUUUUGGAGAGUAGUGUAGCUAGAGUUAGGCACAUGGGUUGAGUUGAGUACAACAUUCCACCCUCAGACGGAUGGACAGUCCGAGCGCACCAUUCAUAUAUUGGAGGAUAUGCUACGCACUUGUGUCAUGGAUUUCAGGGGUUCUUAGGAUCAGUUUCUACCGCUUGCAGAGUUUGCCUACAACAACAACUACCAACCCAGUAUUUAGAUGGCUCUCUAUGAGGCCUUGUAUGAGAGGCGGUGUCAGACUCUGGUUGGUUAGUUUGAGCUGGGUGAGGCUAGGCUAUAGGGUACUUACUUGGUUCAUGAUGCUUUGGGAAAGGUUAAGUUGAUUCAGGAUCAGCUUUGCAUGGCACAGUCUAGGCAGAAGAGUUACGCCGAUUGGAAGGUUCGUGAUGUUGUCUACAUAGUCUCCACAUCGCAAGUUGAGCCCUCGGUAUAUAGGCCCUUUUGAAGUGCUUGAGAGGACUGGAGAGGUGGCUUACAAGCUUGCAUUGCCACCUAGUCUAUCGAGUGUUCACCUAGUGUUUCAUAUUUCCAUGCUUCGGAAGUAUUUCGGUGAUCCAUCUCAUAUUUUGGACUUCAACACAGUUCAGUUAGAUGGGGAUUUGACCUAUGAUGUGGAGCCGGUGGCCAUUUUGGAUCGACAGGUUCGAAAGCUGAGAUCAAAGAAUAUAGCUUCAACAAAAGUACAGUGGAGAGGUUAGCCAGUUGAGGAGGCCACUUGGGAGACUGAGCGGGUGAUGCAGAGUAGCUAUCCACACUUAUUUGAGACUCCAGGUAUAAUUCUAGACCCGUUUGAGGACGAACAUUUGUUUAAGAGGGUGAGAAUGUAACGACCCGGCCGAUCGAUUUGAGUAUUGUAGCACCAUUUCCCAAUUUAUUGCUUAUUCUAUGUUCGUUUAUUGUUAUGUGACUUGUCGAGGUUGUUGGUUUGGUUCCGGGGAUGUUUCAGAAUGAAUCGGGACACUUUGUCCCAAGGAUGGAAGCUCAAGUUGAAAUAGUUGACUGGAUAUUGACUUAUGACUAAAUGACUCCAAAAUGGAGUUUUGCUGAUUCUGAUAUCUUCGUAUGGUGAUUUUGGACUUGGGAGUAUGUCCAGAGUUUGGUUUGGAGGUCUGUAGGUCGGUUGGCUUGAAUUGGCGAAAGUAGGAAAGUUGAAUGUUUGGAAAGUUAAAAAUAUUGACCGAGAGUUGACUUUGUUGUUACCGGGCUCGGGUUUUGGUUCCGGUAGGUUGAAUAGGUCCGUACUGUCAUUUGUGACUUGUAUGCAAAAUUUGAGAUCAAUCAGAGUUGAUUUGGUAUGUUUCGGUAUUGGUUUUAGAAGUUGGAAGUUCAAUAGAUCAUUAGGCUUGGAUUGGGGUGCGAUUCGUAUUUUCGAUGUUAUUUGAUGUGAUUAUAGGCUUCGACUAAGUUCGUAUGAUGUUUUAGGAUGUGUUGAUAUGUUUGAAUGGGGUCCCAAGGGCCUCGGGUGAGAUUCGAUUGGUUUCGGAUUUGAGUUUGGCCUUAUUGGAUUGCUGAUGUUAAGGUAUCUGGUUUCCUUAUACGUGAUCGUAUGAGAAGGUCCGCAAUCGCGAAGGCUUGUUUGGGUGACUGGUGAAAUGUUCUACGCGUUCGCGAGAGUUCACCUAUGCUCGCGAAGCUUGGGGAGUUAGUGCUUCGUGAACGCAUGAGAGGUGCCGCAUUCACAAAGAAGGAAGAAGUGGACUGGGAAGCCCAUGCGGUUGUUCUUUGCAAUCGUGAGUGGGAGUCCGCGAUCGCGUAGGUCUGUGUUGCUGUGCAUCGCGUUCACGGCUGGGGUUCCGCGUUUGCAUAGGCUAUUUUUUAGGGCAGCAUAUUUGUUCUUCGCGAUCGCGAGGGACUUUCCGUGAUUGCGAAGAGGAACAACUAGGAAAACUAUUUAAUUUCAAAAAUGAGGGUUAUAGUAUUAUUUCACGUUUGAACUUUGGGAGCUCGAUUUGAGGUGAUUUUUGAAGGGAUUUUUAAGGAGUUGUUUGGUGUAAGUGAUUCUAACUCGGAUUUGAUUAAUAUACAUAAAUCUAUCAUUGUUUUUACCAUUUUAUUAGUGUUUUGGGUUGGAAAAAUUGGGAAACAUUGUAGAAACUUCAUAAACUAUAUUUUGAGGAUUUGAAAGAUGAGUUUAGGUCAGAAUCAGAUGAUUUUGGUAUGGUUGGACUCUUUAUUGAAUGCGUGUUCGGCUUUUGUAAAUUUUGUCGGAUUUCAGGACAUGGGCCCGAGGUUGACUUUUUGACUUUGGCUAAAGAACUUAGCUUUAUCGUAUGGAAUCGAUUCUUAUAGCUUGUAUUGAUUUUAUUAAGUUGUUGUGACUAGAUUCGGUCUGAAAUACGUGUUAUGUGGUUGGUAUUGAGGUGACACACAUGCUAGGUGACGGGCAUGUGGGCGUGCACCGGGGUAAUUAUGACUCGGUUAAUUCCGUGGUACCGUGUAGUUAUCAAACCUUGUUGCUGUUCAUGUAAUCCCUACAUGUUAGAGUAAUUAAGCUGCAAUCCAUGUUAGAAAUCAUGUUUAGGCUAUAUGCUUAUUCUGUUGGGACCCACUGAGGUCAUUUCUGUUAUUGAAUUAUAUGUUUAAAUUCCAAUUAUGUACUCAGUCACAUCCAUCAUUUGCAUAUCAUAUCUCAGUCUCUGUUAUCAUUUUUGUUACAUCAUGUAUCAUUGUUUGGGCUGAUUGGCAUGAGAUUUGUGAGCCCGAGAGAUUGAAAAGAUUGAUUACUGAGUUGGGGCCUGAGAGCCAUGUUGUGAGUGAGGUUGUGGGUCGGGCUGCAUGCCGCAACAGGCCUUGUUGACUUUAUAUAUAUUAUUAUUAUGGAUCGGGUUGCACGCCGCAACAGGCCUUGUUGGCUUUAUAUAUAUUAUUAUUAUGGAUCGGGCUGCACGCCGCAGCAGGCCUUAUAGGCUUUAUCUAUUAAUAUAGGAUCAGGUUGCACGCCGCAGCAGGCCAUAUUGGCUUAUAUUAGCGCUUGGAUAGGAUAUGCCCCUCCGGAGUCUGAAAUACCAGCAGUGAGCACAGGUACCGUACAGUGCGGAGCGAUUGAUAUUGUUUAGUAGGAGUGUGAGACAGUGAGAUUGAGUACUCUAAGAAUGUGAGUACAUGAGUUUAUCACUGUGAUGCAUUACAUGUGACAUUCACAUUUGACGUGUAGGCAUAGAGAUGUAACAUUCCUCAUAUCAAUCAUACUUGGUAUAUUUUAUUAGUGUUGAGCUUAAACUGUUAAACUUGAAAGCAUGUCUCCAUUUAUGCAUUGUGUACGGAUUGAUUAUGGGAUUUCAUAGAGUUAUUAUUGCCAUUUCCCUGUUAUAUAUGUACUAUUAUUAUCUGGAUUUGUACUGUACCUUUUUGAGAUCGUCACUGCUUUUAGCCCAAGGUUAGUCCUGUUACUUAUUGAGUAUAUUGGGUCGGUUGUACUCAUACUACACUCUGCAUUUCAUGUGCAGAUCCAAGCACUUAUGGGCACGACAGUUGCUAGACUUGGUGCAGUAUCUGCUUGGAGAUUAUUGAGGUAGCUGCUAUGAUGCCCGCAGACCUCGAUUCUUCUUCCUUUCAGUUUAUUUUAUAUUGUUGUAUCUUUCAGACAAUUGUAUUAGAAGUUUAGAUUAUGUUGACACUUAGUAGCUCAUGUUCUCGGUGACACCCAAAUUUUGGGAGAUUUUGUAGUUGAGUCGCAGUUGUGCUUAUCGG
rnacentral:lncRNA from 1 species